ensembl:lncRNA
AUGGCUCGUCCUUGGGUCAGAGACGUAGAACCCGGAAGCGGUGGGACAAGGGGAAGUUUCUGCAACAGUCCAGAGAAGGAACUGGCGCUCCCGCCCCUGGGCAGGCCGCCCGCACAGGGACCCGGCCACCAAGGUGACGUAAGCGGCAGAAAUUGGUGCUCCUGGAGUUCUGUGAGCUGCUUCCGGAUGACCAGCGAAAGGCACGUGUCUGAGACAGAAGGGGUGCGUGAGCCUGAGCAGAGGAGAUGGGGUUCCAUCCGAGGAGGCACAGACCCUCUUCAGCAGCUGAAAGACUGCAUCAGAACCCGCAGUCUGGCUUACGGCGCCCGUCAGCCGAGACGACCGUGGGAUACAGGUAUGUGCAAACAGGCUAACGUGCUGACAACCCCGAACCUUCUCAGGGAGCUGGCAGAGAAAUGUGCUGGGGCAGCUGUGGCAUCCAGAUGUGGACCCCGGGGGGCGGGGAGCCUGAGCGCACGCGUCUCGGGACGGCUACGUGGCACCCCCGGAGAAGCCGAGGCUCCUGGAGCGGGGCGGGCGGCAAGGCAGGAACCACCCCGUAACCAGGGAGGCGGGCUGGGGCGGAGGGAGACUUAGUGACAGGGAACAGGGCACACACACGGCACCGUUAGCUCUAGGAACAAACCCCGUCGCAGGACCCUGCUUGGUUUAGCAGCAUUUGUUGUGCCAUCUCGAGCUGUCGUACGGUAUCGGGGUGCGGAUACAGGGGGCGAGCGGGGAGGGGAAGGGAAAGUCGGCAGCAUGCCCCAGACGGCAGAUGUGCUGUGUGUACCAUCUCCUCGCCCUUCCCAUCGGGCCUGGCAACCGAGCCCUGCCUGCUCCGGCAGGUCAAAAGCAAAACCUGGCAUGCCCGGGUGGCUCCGUCAGUCGGUGACGCGUCCGACUCUUGAUUUUGGCUCCGGUCAUGAUCUCGAGGCUCGUGAGGUCGAGCCCCGCGUCAGGCUCUGCGCGGACAGUGUGGGGCCUGCCUGGAUUCUCUCUCUCCCCCUCUCUCUAAAUAAGCGAGCUUUUAAAACAGCAACGCAAAACAAGUCGCAGAUCUGUAGCAGCGUAUCUUCGCUUUGUGUCUUCGGGGUGUCUUUGCUCAAAUUGGAGACGGUCUUAAAUCUGGUCCCUGGUCCAUAGUGUAGGCCACUUACCCUUUCAUCGAGAGCGUCGGAAUGCCACUCCGGGCCACCUGCAGGACGCUCUUCUCCGCUCAGGCGGCCGAAACGAGUUCACGUACGAUGGAAGACGGGAUUAGCCACCUUUCUACUCGGAUAAUGUUUUCCCUCUCCAUCUUAACCCCACCGUCACACUCCUGUGGACGGAGUCAGCGUCACACCCUUAGGGGAGGGACACGGGGCACGUGGCAGCAAAAUCCUGCGUGGACGCGAGCCUGAGGGUCGCCGCCGGCCCGGCGUCUGUGCUCAGGGCCGUGUCUCCGUGUUCCCACGCGUCUGGGAUGCCAGCAGGCGCCUCACGGGAUGGCGCGGGCCCUUCCUCCCUCCGUGGCGGUGGGAGUGCCCGGCCCGGCCGCCCCUCUCACGGGCCUGUGGCUCCCUCGAGCACAAACGCUACGUCUGUCGAAUGAGGCUGUAGGCGCCGGGGCUCUGGAUCCACGAGACAGAUUUUUUAAAAAGUGUUUUUAUUUCAAAGGGCACCAGAAACACUGCAGGAAUGCUCACAACCAAGCGAAGUGGGACGCGAGGCGCCCCGCCGGAGCAGAUGUGAAGUGUGGGCGCGGCAAAGUCCACGAGGGCAGCGCCGAAGGCCCACGCCGCUCGUCAGGGCGCCGGGGCGUUUGGGGGCUUGGCCAACGCCGCGGGAGUGACGGCACCUGCCGGGCCGCGGGUGCCGGGAACCAGGGAGAAGCCAACUACCGAAGACAGCGACAGCGUGCGAGGACCCGCGCCACCUACCGAAGCGCCUGGGGCCGGCAGGGGCCGCCGCACGUCGCACACGGGCGGUGCUGGAGGCGGCGAGGACACCGGACCUGCACACACUUGCCGAGUCUCACGGGAAUCCGCCACUUGGACCACUUUUUAUUGAUAAACAGGUACACACGUUAAAAGCCUCACACCGAAGCCGGACACACGCGCCCACCGCGGACAACGGAUGUGCAGACGCGUGACGCAGCGCGACUCCUGGCGGCUCGCCGCGUCUGGGCCCCUGGGGCCUGUCCCUCUGGUGGGGACACGGCCCCUGCCCCGCGGCUCUCAGUCCGUCUCCGGGACAUCCCUCCGCUUUGCUCGCCCGGCUACAGCUGCGUGUCUCGGGUAGGUCCCCCGUGGAUCUGCGUCAGCAGGGGCGGAAGCCUGACUAGGACAGGGUGCAGGUUCCUUAAAACGAAAACCCAAACCCAAACCCAAACAGCUCACGGGUGAACGGAAAGGCGUAGAAGCCGGGAGGGGAACACCGGCUCUCGUCAGCGUGCAGGCAGGCUUGGAGGAGAGCCUUGGGCUUUGUCAAGGACCGCUUCGUCCAGAGUCCCGCAAAACAGGUACAGACCGGGCAAGUUUAAGGCGAGUCCCCACGGAGGGGAGCUGUUUGCUUUCUGAUGGAAGUUUAAGCUCUGCACCAAAGGUCCUACUGGAUCGCUUGGGACGUGGUGUAAAAACAAACAUGAACGACACAAAAAAUAAAGCUGUUGCCGUCCUGAAUACUCCGCGAGUG